rnacentral:lncRNA from 1 species
GCUGGCUGCUCCCGCUCGCCUCUUGGGGUGCGCUCGGCUCCAGCCCAACUCCGCCAGCUCCGCCGGCUCCAGCACCGCUCCAACCCGAUUCCAGCCGGAUUCCAGCCCGAUUCCAGCCCGGUUCCAGCCCGAUUCCAGCCCGGUUCCAGCCCAGCUCCGUCCCGGCUCCGGUUCUUCUCCGCCACGCCUCUCUGUCGACGCUGAGGAGCAGCUUCGCAGGAAAAUCCCAGAAACCUUUGCAAAAAGCUUACAAUGAAAUUUAAGAAGUUCUACGAUUUCGGCGCCAUUUUCGAGUGGAGUGAGAGUAUUGGAAAAGUUUGGCUGGAAGCGAAUGACCCUCUCUAGAAGUGACCAGACAUCUCUUUGUGCUCUCUUUUCGUGACCAUCGAUGGUUUUUUCCUCCACAAUUCCGUGUCCAUGUAAAAAUGACUUGUAAUAUAGCCAAGAAAAGACGGAAUUUUCAUUCCAACUUAAGGAGUGGGGCUGUUAUUAUUAAUGGCUUUAUUUAUCAUGACCUAAGCAAUGCAUAUGUUAGCACUGGAUCAUUAUCUGUUAUGUUAGGAAUUUUGUAUUUAGUUUAAUUACAUACUCUGUAUAUUUUAUUAAUUAAUUAAAAGGACCCAGCAUUCAUUGUA